UGUAAUAGGCUGAAUGAGUGGGUCUUACAAACCAUUCACCUUUACUUCCAGAGAACUGUAUUUUCUCUUACUGACUUGUCUUUUUUCACUCUGUUUUUCUCAUAAGUUUCCUUUAUGCAAUAGUGAGAGUGUGAGUAGGCUACUCCAUAUUCUCUCCUCUCUCUCUGGAUUCUUUGCAACACAUGUGGAAUUACAGCCUGAUACCAGAAAGAGGAACGUCUGGUUGCUGAAUGGUCAAACUGUCAAGGCGACACCAUAUAAAUCAAGAGGGUUGGGAUUAGAUAUUGUGCGAAAGACAGUAUAAAAGCAUGAAGGAGAGCCUUAAAAAGAGCUGAACUGAGGUUACAUCUCUUCUGCGCAGAACUUGUGCUCUCUAACUUCUUGCAUUCAAAAUAAAACUUCUUAAUUUUCAA